rnacentral:rRNA from 1 species
ACCAAGGCGACGACGGGUAGCCGGCCUGAGAGGGUGUUCGGCCUCACUGGGACUGAGACACUGCCCAGAGCCCUACGGGGUGCUGCAGUUUCGAAUCGUUCGCAAUGCGCGAAAGCGUGACGACGCGACGCCGCGUGCGGGAGGAAGGCCUUCGGGUUGUAAACCGCUUUUAGGGGGUAUGAAGAGAUCGGGGUCAAUAGCCCCGUGAUCUGACGUCAACCCCAGAAUAAGCUCCGGCUAACUUCGUGCCAGCAGCCGCGGUAAGACGAAGGGAGCGAGCGUUGUUCGGUAUCACUGGGCUUAAAGAGCGCGUAGGCGGUCGGAUGGGUCGGUUGUGAAAUCCCUGGGCUCAACUCAGGAAUUGCUUCCGAAACUAUUCGACUUGAGGCAUUCUGGGGGCGACUGGAACUCUUGGUGGAGCGGUGAUAUGCGUAGAUAUCAAGAGGAACGCCAGUGGUGAAGACGGGUCGCUGGGAAUGUCCUGACGCUGAGGCGCGAAAGCUAGGGGAGCGAACGGGAUUAGAUACCCCGGUAGUCCUAGCCGUAAACGAUGUGCACUAGGCUGCGGUAGUUCUGACACUGUCGCGGCCGUAGCAAAAGUGUUAAGUGCACCGCCUGGGGAGUACGGUCGCAAGGCUAAAACUCAAAGGAAUUGACGGGGGCUCACACAAGCGGUGGAGGAUGUGGCUCAAUUCGAAGCAACGCAAAGAACCUUAUCCUGGGUUUGACAUGCACGGAUGAAACCUGUGAAAGCAGGGGACUGCCCGCAAGGGUGAAACGUGCACAGGUGCUGCAUGGCUGUCGUCAGCUCGUGCUGUGAAGUGGGUUAAGUCCCUUAACGAGCGAAACCCUUGUCGUUAGUUACCAGCGGGUCAUGCCGGGAACUCUAACGAGACUGCCGGUGUUAAACCGGAGGAAGGUGGGGAUGACGUCAAGUCCUCAUGGCCUUUAUGCCCAGGGCUGCACACGUCCUACAAUGGGAUGGACAAAGGGUUGCGAAACCGCGAGGUCAAGCUAAUCCCAAAAACCAUCUCCCAGUCCGGAUUGCAGGCUGCAACUCGCCUGCAUGAAGUCGGAAUCGCUAGUAAUCGCGGAUCAGCAUGCCGCGGUGAAUAUGUUCCUGAGCCUUGUACACACCGCCCGUCAAGCCAUGGGAGCUGGUAGUACCCGAAGUCGCUGACCCAACCCCUCGGGGAGGGAGGUGCCGACGGUAAGACCGGUGACUGGGGCUAAGUCGUAACAAGGUA